UGAGACUGUUUGUUUAAUCUUAGGGGU
rnacentral:piRNA from 1 species